rnacentral:lncRNA from 1 species
GUCUUAGAUACUUGAUCCACUGUAAAUGUAUGAUUGCUAAGCUAUGAAAGUCAUCAGCAAAUGCAGAGAUUUAUAUUCCCUUCUAAACUGCUCUUGUUAAUGAAUUGAGUUCUAAGCACCACUGCAUUUAGCAAUUAAAAUUCAUUUAGAAAAUUGUAGCUGGGCAGUGAAAGCAGUUUCUUACGGCUUUUCUCUCUAAUAGGGCAAAGAAAAAAAUUGCAGCCAGCAUUUGUAAAUUAAAAUAAUGAUUUUUCCAGUUUCUACAUUGUGUAUCAACCAGCUUCUACUUAAUGUAGAUUUUAACAUCAUUUGAUUUUAAUGAUUAAUUUAAUUUUAACAUCAUUUUGUAUCAACUUAUAAGAAACAUGCUUGAAGUACCAUUAAGACGACAGGAUGCUAAGGGCGGUAUUGCAUAGGUGCUUUA